ensembl:snRNA U2 U2 spliceosomal RNA
AUUACUUCUUGGCCUUUUGCUAAAAUGUAGUAUUAGUUCAGCGUAAUAUCUGAUCUAUUCUCCAUCUGAGCACAAUACAGUAAAUGGAUUUUUGGAGCAGAGAGCUGGAAUAGGAGCUUGCUCUGUCUACUGCAUGCAUUAACCCGGUACUACAGGACCUCCAGGAAUGGCACAACCCUG